UACGUAGGGUGCAAGCGUUGUCCGGAAUUAUUGGGCGUAAAGGGCUCGUAGGCGGUCCAUCGCGUCGGGAGUGAAAAGCUGGGGCUCAACCCCAGUCCUGCUUUCGAUACGGGUGGACUAGAGGUAUGCAGGGGAGAACGGAAUUCCUGGUGUAGCGGUGAAAUGCGCAGAUAUCAGGAGGAACACCGGUGGCGAAGGCAGGUCUCUGGGCCGAUACUGACGCUGAGGAGCGAAAGCGUGGGGAGCGAACAGG
rnacentral:rRNA from 1 species